rnacentral:rRNA from 1 species
AUGCAGGCAGCAGACAAUUUCGGGGAACAGACAUCGGGGCCUGCUCCUGCAACCAAUUUCGAACAAGUUGUGAUGACCUAUCCGGACCGGGUUCUAGAACCGAGCCACUCAGGAGCAGGGCUGCGCGUCGAAAAGGAACACGCUGGCAAACAAGCAAUCCUGGAAGGAGGUCUACAGCCGAUUGGUGAAAUUAACCAGGAACAUGCAUCAAAUGGCAUUGCCACAACUGUGCAAGGACUGUUGGCAGAUAUGUUGCAUAAACAAACCAACUCGGUGGACUCUAUAGUGCAGCACGCUGAAGAACAAGACCAAUUAUACGAUGUUACAGAAGGGCAUGAAUUGUGUAGCAAUGAUACAAGCAGUGGAAGCGAUGCAGGUAGCAGCUCUGGGAGCGAGUUGGAUACUGAACUAGGAAAAUGCUUUUACCCUAGUAUCGAGGCAUUGGAGAAUUCAAGACCACCGGAAGUUGGAAUGAAAUUUCCUACCCUUGAAGAUGCAGAGCGUUUCUAUAGCACACAUGCUAUGCUAACUGGUUUUGCAGCAAGGAGGGGAACUAAUUACAAGAGAAAGAAGUUUCACCUACUGUGCAACAGAAGUGGUAAAUUAAAGCCAACUCAGGACCUGCAGAGGAAGAGGAAGGUUAAUGUUUUGGGCUCACAGUGCCAAGCAAAGGUGAUCGUGAAGCUCCAUAACGAGCAAUGGGAAUUCACAGGAGUUAAGCACGAGCACAACCAUCCAUUAUGUCCAUCCCCAUCGCUCACGAGUUUCUUUUUGGAUCAUAAAUACUUGUCAAGUGAAGAAAAGUUAUUUCUAAGAGUUCUGCAACAAAGUAGGGUAAAUCCAAGGAAAGCUAUGAAUAUUUUCCAGAGAAUGAGAAGCAACUUUGGAAAUGUAUCAUCAUCAAACGAGAAAGAUAUGAGCAACUCACAGUGUGUCGACCAAUGGAGAAAAGAAAACUCAGAUGUUGAAACCGCACUGAAGCGCUUCAAAGAACUGGAGCUGCGGAACCAAGGAUUUUCCUACACCAUGCAAAAAGAUGAAGAUAACAUAGUUAGGAGUCUUUUCUGGACUGAUGCAAGGUCGAAAGUAGAUUAUGAGAUUUUUGGAGAUUUCAUAUCAUUUAGCACUACCUAUAGCACUAAUAGGCAUAAUAUGCCUUUCACCCCUAUCAUUGGAGUGAAUAAUCAUGGGCGAAUCCUUGUGUUUGGAUGUGCCUUGCUACAAGAUCAGAAAGCUGAAACCUUCAAAUGGAUGUUCCAAACCUUCUUGCAUGUGAUGAGAGGGAAACUGCCAAAAACAAUCAUAAUAGACCAGGAUGAAGGUAUGGUGAAAGCAAUUGCAGAGGUCAUGCCACAAGUAAGGCACAGGCUUUGCAAGUUCAGCGUGAUGCGAAAAGCACAGGAAAUGCUAGGAGCCUUCAUGGCAGCAAGGGGCAACAUGAAUGCAGAGCUGCACAGCUUGGUAGACAACUCACUGACAGAAAAGGAAUUUGAAGAGGGAUGGGCUGUGCUCAUUGAGAGAUACGAUGCAAGUGAAAACGAGUACCUCCGACUCAUGUGGAAAACAAGGAAAAGCUGGGUGCCUGUUUAUUUCCGGGCAGAUUUCUACCCAUUCGUCGAGUCAGCUGAACAUGGUGAGGGGUCAAACUUAUUAUUCAAAGACAAUGUGCUUCCUAAGGACAGAAUCGAGAAGUUUAUCGAGCAAUAUGAGAGGAUACAAGAGGGCAUAGUAAAAACAGAGGAAGAGGAUACAUUGCAGUCAGCAACUGAACCAGCAUACUUCUCCAUGCAGCCAAUAGAAAAGCAUGCAGCGUGUAUAUACACAAGGCAAAUAUUUCUGAGAGUACAGAAAGAGCUAUACUAUUCUACAGCACUCAAUGCACAUGAGAUACAAGGUGGAGCAGCGUAUAGACUCGAAAAGGUCUUCGACUACGAGAACCCUGAGUUUGACAGAAACUCUUUCGAAGUGCUAGUUGAACCUGGCACCUACACAUUCAAAUGCCAAUGUGCAAAGUUUACCAGGGAUGGGAUUUUAUGCUGCCACAUAUUCAGAGUUUUCACGCAGCUUGGAGUCAUCGAAAUACCAGCGCGGUACAUAGUGCCCAGAUGGGCCCGUGAAUUCAGAGAGGAGCGGCUGAAAGAGUACGAGGAGAAAUGCUCAAAGAGAACAGAAGGCAGAAAGAGAUGUGCGAUGCUAUUGGGUAAAAUGGCGGACAUCGGCAAGGGGAUAUGCGCGGACAGUGCGAAAAGCGGCUGCUUCAUGCUCGAACUGGACAAGGUUCAAGAGAAGUUGGUGGGUGCCGAUGAUCAGAUCGUGUUGUGGAGCAAAUGA